CUGCAUGAAGUUGGAAUUGCUAGUAAUCGCGGAUCAGCAUGCCGCGGUGAAUACGUUCCCGGGCCUUGUACACACCGCCCGUCACACCAUGGGAGCCGGUAAUACCCGAAGUCAGUAGCCUAACCGCAAGGAGGGCGCUGCCGAAGGUAGGAUUGGCGACUGGGGUGAAGUCGUAACAAGGUAGC
rnacentral:rRNA from 1 species